UGUGGAGUAAAGGCGUAUUAAGCCACCUUACAGACAUACCAGACGGCUGACCCUCGGCAGAAUAGGCAGUUGGACUGAUCAGUCUCCCUGAGUUGGUCAAAAAGUUCCUCAGAACACACCGAAGAGACGAGACGUAAUAUGUCUCCAUAACAGCAGG